rnacentral:rRNA from 1 species
AACGAACGCUGGCGGCAGGCUUAACACAUGCAAGUCGAACGCCCCGCAAGGGGAGUGGCAGACGGGUGAGUAACGCGUGGGAAUCUACCCAACCCUGCGGAAUUGCUCUGGGAAACUGGAAUUAAUACCGCAUACGCCCUACGGGGGAAAGAUUUAUCGGGGAUGGAUGAGCCCGCGUUGGAUUAGCUAGUUGGUGGGGUAAAGGCCUACCAAGGCGACGAUCCAUAGCUGGUCUGAGAGGAUGAUCAGCCACAUUGGGACUGAGACACGGCCCAAACUCCUACGGGAGGCAGCAGUGGGGAAUAUUGGACAAUGGGCGCAAGCCUGAUCCAGCCAUGCCGCGUGAGUGAUGAAGGCCUUAGGGUUGUAAAGCUCUUUCACCGGUGAAGAUAA